AUACGGAGGGUGCGAGCGUUAAUCGGAAUUACUGGGCGUAAAGCGUGCGUAGGCGGUUCGUUAAGUCAGAUGUGAAAGCCCCGGGCUUAACCUGGGAACUGCAUUUGAAACUGGCGGACUAGAGUUGAGUAGAGGGGAGUGGAAUUUCAGGUGUAGCGGUGAAAUGCGUAGAUAUCUGAAGGAACACCAGUGGCGAAGGCGACUCCCUGGACUCAAACUGACGCUGAGGUACGAAAGCGUGGGUAGCAAACAGGAUUAGAUACCCUGGUAGUCCACGCCGUAAACGAUGUCAACUAGCCGUUGGUCCUAUUUACAGGAUUAGUGGCGCAGCUAACGCAUUAAGUUGACCGCCUGGGGAGUACGGCCGCAAGGUUAAA
rnacentral:rRNA from 1 species